rnacentral:sRNA from 1 species
AGUCUCCUGUUUAUCCAAGGAAGAGGUACAGCAUGGGCAACUGCAGUGCAAGCUCCCAUGCCCUGACCUGCCAAUGUGUCUCAAACACUUUUCUAGAGGGGCCUCUGCUAUUGCGAGAGAGCAGUGGU